rnacentral:tRNA from 1 species
GGGGCUGCAGCUGAGUGGUAAAGCACCUGCCUAGCAUGUAUGAGGCACUGGGUUUGAUUCUCAGCUCCA